rnacentral:lncRNA from 1 species
GCCCUCCGCAGACCUCCGCGCAGCGGCCGCGGGCGCGAGGGGAGGGGUCUGGAGCUCCCUCCGGCUGCCUGUCCCGCACCGGAGCCCGUGGGGUGGGGAGGUGUGCAGCCUGUGACAGACAGGGGCUUAGAGAUGCAAACAGACUCAGGGAGAGAAACAGAAGCUGAUUCUGUGACAGAAGCAGAUCUGUGCAGCACAGAUGCGGUGUGCGUGGGGAGGGGGUCGCCUGGGAGCGCAUUGCGGAGUGCUUGUGUGUGCAGAUUUUUCUCUGGGCUCAGGACUCAUUGUAUGUGGGUCAACACCUUCCUCCGUGACUGUGUUUUUGUUCUGAGCUGAGUUUUUUGGUUUGCCCUUAAAAAAAUAAUAAUUUGGCAUCCAGAGACUGGCAGACUGCCUCAGGGCCUGGACUGCGGAUAUAUUGUGUUCUGCUUGAGGUUUGGGGAGGAGGGCAGGCGGUAGGAAGGGAGAGGGGGAGCUGUUUGUCACACUUUGCUGUAGAGCUGAGAGCACCUGACAAGCUUAAGGAAGUCGUUGGGCUAUGUGGACAAGAAGGAGCCAGCUCCCAGCGGGUUCACAAGCUCUAUCGGAGUUGAAAGCGUGGUCAUGGCUCUAAGGAGCACCUCACGCCCUCCCUGUAGCUGUUAUUGCAGUUUCAGGCAGAGAUCCAGGAGCUGCAGAGGAAGGGAGAGGCACAAUAACCUACAUGGACCCAAGGGAGACAUGUGUUCCUUUAAAAAUGUGAACAGAAGGAAAAACAGAAUGUGUGCAACUGGGGGUCUGAGGAAAGACUGUUUUGAAAGAGGCUGUCAGGGAAUGGAAAGGGUUAAGCUUUUCAUCCUGAAGAACCUGCUUCCCAAAUCAGGCCUUCCUCCCAUCACUAGACCCUGAGCAGCAGCUGGUCCUAGAGACCCCCCUCGUACUGCGCUGCCACAGUCUCAUCCCAUUUCCAGCUCUGUAUUAACCACCAAGCUGCAGCGGAUGGGGCAAGACCUAAGCUCAUUAAUUUCCAGGUCCCUGCAGUAGAGGGAGGAGCAGAGAAAGGAGGCCAAGAGCUGGAUCCUUCUGCCCAGGAAGCCUGCUGCAUCCCUUCCCCCGAGCAUGGCAGAGGCCUGGCUUUGCAAGGCCAAGGCCAUAAGGGAUGCUUAGGAGAUUAAUUUGAUUCCUGACACAAUAAUCAAGCCCUAAGAGUCUCCACUGAAGCUUACUGAGGACUUCUUUCCUCUCCAAAGCCUCAGUCUAGCCUGCUAAAUAAAUUAGUAUUCAGUGAUGCCUUGGAUCAGGGCCCCUCCCCGGCCUCAGUUUCCCCAAAUAUUUAUUAAGUACCUACUGUGUGCAAUCCUUGUGUAAUUAUUAACUCUUAGGCUCUUCAUUUGCCCUCCUAAAGCAGUGUUUAGAGUCAGGCAGAGGUUAAGUGUGUUGCACCUCACCUAGAUACUUCCAGAACCUUCUCUGGGUCUGCAGAAUGUGGCACAACCUGCUUGCCCCCGCAGAGAGAAAGCUGCAGUGCACAUCCUGCAGACUGCAGGUGCUGGGCUGCCUCUGGAGUCCCAGAAGGCAAGCUUGGCUGCAGGACAGAAAGGGAGAACAGCUUCUCUCACCCCUGAGCCUUCACAAGCCCUUGUCUAUUUGCCGUUGCCUUCAAAAUAUACCUCCCCCGAAACCAGUAGCUUUCUGAGUCCUGGUGUCCCCUCCGCCCUUUCUGGACAGGUUUGGGAAGAAGAAAGCAGUCAGUGCUGGGCCUUAUUGGGGUGUGAAGCGCCUUGCUCUGCCCCUUCUGCUCACUGUGAAGGCCGCUGGAUGCUUCUCUUAGGCAUGGUUUAAGCCUCCGAUUACUAAACCCCUUGCCCCACAAACGUCCACAUUGACGAGCCUCUUUUUAGUAACUGCUUCCCCGUAAUUCCUUCAGAGGUUGCUGUACCCUUCGCUGAUGUGCUGCCCUCCUGUAAAACCUCCAGAUGCCUUCCCACGUAAUGCCCCUUUCAGAUGCUUUAAGCUGAGAGCUUAAACCACAGGUACCAUGGCUGACGCCUGCCAGGUUUCUGCUGCAGAUAAUCUAUGAUGGGAGGGGCAUAUUUUUUACUUCAUUACUUAUGUAAACUCUUGUUCCAGAAAGCUUUAAUGUGUGUGGGAGUGUUCUGGGUCUAUUAGGUCUGUGCGCAUGGGUGUGGGCAUUUGCCUGUGUCCACCGGGUGGGUCUCAUUAUGAAAUGUAUGUUUAUGUAGGGCUUUAAUGGCUGAAAAUGGCAAAGAGAUGAAUAGACCACUUGGCCCCAUGUGUAAUUGCCAGGCCCCUUCUGUGCUCAAAUGAGGUGUCCGAGUGAAGGUCAGCCCUUCCCUUCUGUAUUUGGGGCCUAUUUAUGCCACCAGUAAUUUUAUAAGAAAUCUGAAUAGUUCUCCCCUUUGAGUGCAUUUAACUCUUUAGUAUCUUCUCUCUUACCUAUUUGAGCCCCUCUAGCUACAGUCUGGCUUAAAUGAAAGGGGAAUUAUAUGCUUAAGAAAAAGUAGGACACGGUUGAGGCAGUUUGCUGACUGAAUACGCGAAGAAGGACCUGAUGGGCUCAUAUGCACCACUGCCAUCACAGUCCCCAUCGUGAUGCAAGCUUAUAUGAUUCUUGAGGUAACUCUACCAGAUACUUCCAGAUUUAGAAAUGUGUCAAAGGAAAAAUUGGUGAUACUCUUCUUUCCCCUGCCAGAAACAGCCCAGAUCUCCUCUUAAGCGGAAAAGAGAUUGACCUUCUAGCAGAGGCAAAGGUAAACUCCUGUAAGUUACUUCUGUUACCAAAGGGAGGGGGGCGGCUUUUGUGAAUGUAUGAGGAGCUUUUGCCAGAGAGAUAUUCGGAGGAGGGGUGUGCCCAUAUGCACACAUAUAUUUUCCCGCAUAACCGUAUCCAAUGCUAGCAUUUAGAGGAAGGCAUUUAGCCACCAAAAGUCCAUCCAUCUAUGCUGCUUCCACAGAGAAAACAUUUUCUCUUUCCUCCUCUUGAACUUACAUAAUAUCCUCCUCCCAUUCCAACCUUAGAAUGGAGUCUUCUGGGGGCAGCUGCAAAGCGUUCUCCCUAGGACAGAUGGAGCCUCCCUUUCCUCAUCUACUCUGUGGGUGGUUUCAGGGCCCACGAGUCAACAUGAGGAGUUGUGCUGGUGGUAUGUGUGUUGGAGGCUGGGCUGGCUGAUUCACAGUGACGAGGAUGUCAAUAAUAACAAGAAUGAGAAUGAUGGUACCUAAUAAAGACUUUUUUUCCCA